AUGGUCAUACAGAGAGACCAGAAAAACAGAACAAGCAGCCUUCCACUCAGUAACGCUGAGCAUCCUCUGCAGUUCCUGGCAAUGGCGGCCACCGGGCACUCUUGCUUGCUCAUGCUGCUUCUCCUCGCGAGUUUCGUCGCUGAUGGCCAGCCAGUCUCCAUGCCCAACACCGAGGCUGCCGCGGACCACCUUGCGCUGGUGUCAUUCAAGUCGCUGAUAACCAGCGACCCGUCGUCAGCGCUGGCCUCAUGGUCAUGGGGCGGCAACCGAUCGCUCCCGCUGUGCCGGUGGCGCGGCGUGACGUGCGGCGCUCGGGGCAGCCAUCGUGGGCGUGUCGUAGCCCUGGACCUCAGCAACCUUGGCCUUUCAGGCGCCAUUGCCCCUUCGGUAGGCAAUCUCACCUACCUGAGAAAGCUCCAUCUUCCCAUGAACCGGCUCGCUGGCACCAUACCGUCGGAGCUUGGCCGCCUCGUCAACCUCCGGCAUGUCAACCUGAGCUACAACUCCCUUGAAGGCGGCAUCCCGGCGUCACUCUCACAGUGCCAUCAGCUCGAGAACAUCAGCCUGGCAUACAACAACCUCACCGGGGGAAUCCCUCCAGACAUGGGUGAUCUGCCCGGCAUGCGCCGGCUCCAGGUGCAGUACAACAUGCUCGACGGCCCGAUACUCCGCUCGUUAGGCUCGUUACGCGGCCUCGAGCUUCUUCAUGUCUCCAACAACAGACUUACAGGAAUGAUCCCUUCAGAAAUUGGCAACCUCACCAACCUAGUAAGCCUUAACCUCAACUACAAUCACUUGACAGGUUCAGUCCCUUCUUCUCUUCGUAGCCUUCAGAAAAUCCAGAAUUUGCAAGUGAGAGGGAAUCAACUCACGGGGCUAAUUCCAUCAUUCCUGGGAAACCUCUCGGCGUUAGCCGUUCUUAAUCUUGGAACCAACGGAUUUGAAGGGGAGAUUGUGCCAUUGCAAGCACUGUCAUCUCUGUCUGUCCUUGUUUUGCAAGAAAAUAAGCUUCAUGGUGGCCUCCCUUCCUGGCUAGGAAACCUCUCCUCGCUGGUAUACCUAAGCUUGGGAGGAAAUAGCUUCACUGGGUAUAUUCCUGAAUCAUUAGGAAACCUUCAGAUGUUAUCUGGUCUUGUUCUCGCGGAAAACAGUCUUACCGGCACCAUUCCUUCCUCCCUCGGAAACCUUCGCGCUCUUUCCGACUUAUAUCUCGACAAAAAUCAGCUCACCGGACAAGUUCCUUCUUCCAUUUUCAACAUGUCCUCUCUAAGAAUAUUUAAUCUACAGUUCAACCAGCUAACUGGAUCGUUGCCGACUGGGAAAAAGGUCAGCUUUCCAGUACUCGACAUAUUUAAUGUAGGGGAAAAUAGGUUUCAGGGUGUUAUUCCACCUUGGCUGUGCAACUGUUCCAUGCUUACCAAAAUUGCAGUAGAAGUGAAUAUGAUCUCUGGAACGGUCCCGCCUUGUCUUGGAGAUAACCUGAAAAGCUUGUCGAUCCUGACCCUUGGACAAAACCAACUACUGGCAAAUGAAGAUGAUGGCUGGGACUUCUUGUCCAGUUUAACCAAUAGCAGCCGUCUGAAGAUUUUGGAUUUCAGCAGCAACAGAUUUCAUGGCAAGCUACCAAAUUCAGUAGCCAAUCUUUCUACAGAACUGCAAGCUUUCAACAUAGCCAACAACAUGAUAAGUGGCAACAUUCCUGAUCGAAUUGGGAACCUUGUUAAUUUAUCAUACCUUUUGAUGAACAUCAACUCUCUUGAGGGUACUAUUCCUUCCUCUCUUGGUAGACUCCAGAGGCUGAGCUACUUAGAUCUUGGUAUGAACAAUCUCUCAGGGCAAAUUCCACCAACCCUCGGCAAUCUCACACUGCUGAAUAAACUCUAUCUUGGAACAAAUUCACUUAGUGGACCUGUUCCAUCCAGUCUUAGCAACUGUCCUUUAGAACUAUUGGCUGUUCAGCACAACAAGCUCAGAGGUCCGAUUCCAGAGGAAGUCUUUCUCAUAUCCACCUUGUCUAACUUCAUGUACUUCCAAAGCAACUUGUUUAGUGGGUCACUUCCAUUGGAGAUCGGUAGCUUGAAACAUAUUGCAGACAUCGAUUUAUCUGAUAAUCAAAUUUCUGGUGAGAUCCCUGCCUCCAUUGGUGAUUGCCAAAGCCUACAAUUUUUAAAGAUGCAAAGGAACUUCCUUCAAGGGAGAAUCCCGGCAUCAGUGGGACGGCUGAAAGGCCUUGAAGUACUUGAUCUCUCACAUAACAACUUGUCAGGAGAAAUUCCUGAGUUUCUUGGGAGUAUGAAAGGCCUUGGUAGUCUGAACCUGUCAUUCAACUCCUUUGAAGGUGAAGUCCCAAAAGAAGGAGUAUUUCUUGAUGUAAACGCAACCGCGGUUGAGGGAAAUCAAGGACUGUGUGGUGGUAACCCUGGAAUAAAGUUGCCACCAUGUUCCACCCACACCAACAAGAAACAGUCUUCGAAGCUUAUCAUGAUAAUCUCCAUAAGCAGUGCAGUCCUAUUGAUCAUCGUCCUUUUAGCAUUGUUUGCAUUCUGGUACAGAAGGACCAAGUCACAACAAGCUAACUCAGACUUGUCACUCAUCAACGACUUGCACAUCAGAGUAUCUUAUGCUGAAUUAGUCAAUGCGACAAAUGGUUUUGCUUCUGAGAACCUCAUCGGAGUAGGAAGCUUCGGUUCGGUGUACAAGGGAAGAAUGAUGAUCCACGACCAACAGGUCACUGUUGCUGUCAAAGUGCUUAAUCUCCAACAACGUGGGGCAUCUCAGAGUUUUGUUGCAGAAUGUGAGACACUGAGAUGUGUUCGACGUCGGAACCUUCUGAAGAUCUUGACGGUCUGCUCAAGCAUGGAUUUCCGGAGCCAAGAUUUCAAGGCUCUUGUGUAUGAAUUUCUACCAAAUGGAAAUUUAGACCAAUGGAUACAGAAGCCUUAUGAAGAAAAUGAUGGAGACCGGGUGCUAAAUCUCAUCGGAAGGCUCAGCAUCACCAUUGAUGUAGGUUCUGCACUUGAUUAUCUUCACCAACACAGGCCAUUGCCAGUAAUUCACUGUGAUCUCAAGCCAAGCAAUAUCCUCCUUGAUAGUAACAUGGUUGCUCAUGUUGGUGAUUUUGGGCUUGCAAGAGCCCUGCGUCAGGAGGGUAGUGAUUUCUUAGAGAAAUCAAGUGGCUGGGCUACAAUGAGAGGAACAGUUGGCUAUGCUGCUCCAGAGUAUGGUUUAGGCAAUGAAGUUUCGAUCCUGGGUGAUGUCUAUAGCUAUGGGGUGCUGUUGCUGGAGAUGUUUACUGGGAAAAAGACCAACAGACGGCAAGUUUGGAGAAGCUCUAGGUCUUCACAAAUAUGUUCAGAUGGCACUUCCAGACAGAGUGAUCAAUAUUGUGGAUCACCAGUUAUUAACAAAAGACAAAGAUGGAGAAAGAAACACCUCAAACCCUGA
rnacentral:rRNA from 1 species